rnacentral:lncRNA from 1 species
GGGAAUGUUCCGGUGUGUCUAGUGCAGCACUUGGCUUCCAGUGGUAAGUGGAUAGGUGAUGGCCACUGCUAUAAUGUGAUGUGUGUGGGGAUGGCGGUGAGCAUGAAACACUGCAGUAAGGGCAUGGAGCACUGUAGUAAGGGCAUGGAGCACUGCAGUAGGAGCAUGGAGCACUACAGUAGGAACAUGGAGCACUGCAGUAAGGGCAUGGAGCACUGCAGUAAGGGCAUGGAGCACUGCAGUAAGGGCAUGGAGCACUGCAGUAGGAGCAUGGAGUACUGCAGUAGGAACAUGGAGCACUGCAGUAAGGGCAUGGAGCACUGCAGUAAGGGCAUGGAGCACUGCAGUAGGAGCAUGGAGCACUACAGUAGGAACAUGGAGCACUGCAGUAAGGGCAUGGAGCACUACAGUAGGAACAUGGAGCACUGCAGUAAGGGCAUGGAGCACUGCAGAAGGAGCAUGGAGCAAUGCACUAAGAGGGAAGGUAUCCUGCAAGGACAUGAGGACAGGUCUCCAGUGAGAGGGCUUUCCCUCAGCGAUGCAGCUGUGGAUGGAGGCCAACAGACAGGGACUGAGGUCUGGAACCUCAGGGCAGGGCUAUGUGCAUCUGGAAUUUUUCCUGGUCGUGUAUGUCCCUUUUUUUUUUCUUGAAAAAAAUUUAAGUUUUUUUU